GUGGUUUAAUUCGAUGCAACGCGAAGAACCUUACCAGGUUUGACAUGCUUAAAGUAGGAACUCGAAAGAGGGACGACCUGUAUCCAGUCAGGAAUUUGCACAGGUGCUGCAUGGCUGUCGUCAGCUCGUGCCGUGAGGUGUUAGGUUAAGUCCCAUAACGAGCGCAACCCUUAUCGUUAGUUGCCAGCUGGUAAAGCAGGGACUCUAGCGAACUGCCACCGUAAGGUGAGAGGAAGUGGGAUGACGUCAAAUCAGCACGGCCCUUAUGUCCAGGGCUACACACGUGUUACAAUGGCCGGCACAGAGGGCAGCUACCUGGUGACAGGAUGCUAAUCUCGAAAACCGGUCUCAGUUCGGAUCGAAGUCUGCAACCCGACUUCGUGAAGCUGGAUUCGCUAGUAAUCGCGCAUCAGCCAUGGCGCGGUGAAUACGUUCCCGGGCCUU
rnacentral:rRNA from 1 species